rnacentral:misc_RNA from 1 species
CGCUUCCUGACGCGAUCCGGAACUGGAGCUGUCUCAAUUUGAUUGACUUCAAUAGUAGUUGAAGUACCGACGGAAUCGAACGAUAUUGGGAAUUGAUCGUCCACCGUGAAGUCCAACAGAUCUCCCCAGUCCCAGAGAGCUGAAGACGAAGGGUCUUCCGACACAGGCGGGUGAAUUUCCAUAUCGUGAAACUUAGGCCGAAGAGCUCCGGGUGAAGGUGGAGGAGAAGGUCCCAUAACGGCGGAGAAAAUCCCUAGAUAUUUUAGGAUAGGUAAGGUGGCGUUUAGGAGAAGUAACAGAUAGAAAUUGGCCCGGUUGUUAAGCGAUGGGUAAAGUUCAGUUUGGCUUGGAGGGCUAGGGAGUCGUCGUCGGAGGAAAACAAAAUGAGGUUAUUGUGGCGACAUGGAAUCUUACUCGAUUAUUGUCCUUAGAAUAGCAAUUCCACGCGCUUUCUUGAGACGGGCCGCUGCCAAAUAUAGCUAUAAUCAAACUGAGGACUUGACCUGUUGUAUGGAAAAUCUUAAAGCAACUUCGUAUUAAUAAAAAAAUAAUUUAAUUUUAUCCAAAUAAUUUAAUUUUAUUUAAUUAAGUUUAGGGGUGAAAAUGAUUUGUUUAUAAUAUUAGUAAGUGGAAUAAUCUUUUUUUUUUCGGUGGACAGUUAAUGGAGUAAUCUUAACGCUGAUCCGAUUGAUGCUUCAACGGUGGGGGCGGCGUGGAAUAACGGACAGUUGGUGGAGGUUGCGUGUAGCGGUGGCGAGUGGGGGAGGACAGAUGAAGCAUCCUUGUCAAGAAGAACUGAAGCAAAGUAAUGACGACAUAUGGUGUCGGCCUUUCGGUCUUUGGAAAAGUUGCAUUCAGUAGAGGUACCCGUUCUCCGUUGUGUUCUCUGUUGCGUAUGACUGCUGCGAGUGGCCACCGCCUGUUCGUGGUCCGAACAGAUUUAAAAAAUAAAACUGUGUUUGAAAGUUAACAUGAUUACUAAGUUAUAAUAACUCUAAAAGAAC